GACCCGUGAUCCGGGUUGCGGACAGUGUCUGGUGGGUAGUUUGACUGGGGCGGUCUCCUCCUAAAGAGUAACGGAGGAGCACGAAGGUUGGCUAAUCCUGGUCGGACAUCAGGAGGUUAGUGCAAUGGCAUAAGCCAGCUUGACUGCGAGCGUGACGGCGCGAGCAGGUGCGAAAGCAGGUCAUAGUGAUCCGGUGGUUCUGAAUGGAAGGGCCAUCGCUCAACGGAUAAAAGGUACUCCGGGGAUAACAGGCUGAUACCGCCCAAGAGUUCAUAUCGACGGCGGUGUUUGGCACCUCGAUGUCGGCUCAUCACAUCCUGGGGCUGAAGUAGGUCCCAAGGGUAUGGCUGUUCGCCAUUUAAAGUGGUACGCGAGCUGGGUUUAGAACGUCGUGAGACAGUUCGGUCCCUAUCUGCCGUGGGCGCUGGAGAACUGAGGGGGGCUGCUCCUAGUACGAGAGGACCGGAGUGGACGCAUCACUGGUGUUCGGGUUGUCAUGCCAAUGGCACUGCCCGGUAGCUAAAUGCGGAAGAGAUAAGUGCUGAAAGCAUCUAAGCACGAAACUUGCCCCGAGAUGAGUUCUCCCUGACCCUUUAAGGGUCCUGAAGGAACGUUGAAGACGACGACGUUGAUAGGCCGGGUGUGUAAGCGCAGCGAUGCGUUGAGCUAACCGGUACUAAUGAACCGUGAGG
rnacentral:rRNA from 1 species